rnacentral:rRNA from 1 species
UCGGGAAUAUUGCGCAAUGGGGGAAACCCUGACGCAGCAACGCCGCGUGGAGGAUGAAGGCCUUCGGGUCGUAAACUCCUGUCAGGUGGGACGAAUACGGUCGUGGCGAACAACCACGGCAACUGACGGUACCACCAGAGGAAGCCCCGGCUAACUCCGUGCCAGCAGCCGCGGUAAUACGGAGGGGGCAAGCGUUAUUCGGAAUUAUUGGGCGUAAAGGGCGCGUAGGCGGCUUGGCAAGUCAACGGUGAAAUCCCUCGGCCCAACCGAGGAACUGCCUUUGAUACUGCUUGGCUUGAGGCCGGGAGAGGGUAGCGGAAUUCCCAGUGUAGCGGUGAAAUGCGUAGAUAUUGGGAGGAACACCAGUGGCGAAGGCGGCUACCUGGACCGGUUCUGACGCUGAGGCGCGAAAGCGUGGGGAGCAA